rnacentral:hammerhead_ribozyme from 1 species
AUUCAGUUGACGAGUCCCAAAUAAGACGAAACGCAUGUCCUGGAU